rnacentral:rRNA from 1 species
CCCUUAGAUGUUCUGGGCCGCACGCGCGCUACACUGAUACAUUCAACGAGCCUAUCCUUGACCGACAGGUCCGGGUAAUCUUUGAAUCUGCAUCGUGACGGGGAUAGAUUAUUGCAAUUAUUAAUCUUCAACGAGGAAUGCCUAGUAGGCGCAAGUCAUCAGCUUGCGUCGAUUACGUCCCUGCCCUUUGUACACACCGCCCGUCGCUCCUACCGAUUGGGUGUGCUGGUGAAAUGUUCGGAUCGGCCGUUUGUCGCGGUUUCCGCGUCAUGUGGCUGAGAAGUUCAUUAAACCCUCCCACCGAGAGGAAGGAGAAGUCGUAACA